rnacentral:rRNA from 1 species
AAAAAAAAAAAACUCCAGAGAAUUUAGCAGAGAUGCUUUAGUGCCUUCGGGAACUCUGAGACAGGUGCUGCAUGGCUGUCGUCAGCUCGUGUUGUGAAAUGUUGGGUUAAGUCCCGCAACGAGCGCAACCCUUAUCCUUUGUUGCCAGCACGUAAUGGUGGGAACUCAAAGGAGACUGCCGGUGAUAAACCGGAGGAAGGUGGGGAUGACGUCAAGUCAUCAUGGCCCUUACGAGUAGGGCUACACACGUGCUACAAUGGCGCAUACAAAGAGAAGCGACCUCGCGAGAGCAAGCGGACCUCAUAAAGUGCGUCGUAGUCCGGAUUGGAGUCUGCAACUCGACUCCAUGAAGUCGGAAUCGCUAGUAAUCGUAAAUCAGAAUGUUACGGUGAAUACGUUCCCGGGCCUUGUACACACCGCCCGUCACACCAUGGGAGUGGGUUGCAAAAGAAGUAGAUAGCUUAACCUUCGGGAGGGCGUUUACCACUUUGUGAUUCAUGACUGGGGUGAAGUCGUAACAAGGUAAGCGUAGUGCU